CCUACGGGUGGCUGCAGUGAGGAAUAUUGGUCAAUGGGCGAGAGCCUGAACCAGCCAAGCCGCGUGAGGGAGUACUGCCCUAUGGGUUGUAAACCUCUUUUGUCGGGGAGCAAAAGCCGGGCGUGUUCGGCUGUGAGAGUAGCCUAAGUAAAAGCAACCGCCAACUUCGUGCCAGCCGCCGCGGUAAUUCGGAGGAGUCAAGCGGUAUCCGGAGUUAGUGGGUUGUAAGGGAGCAAAGGCGGAUGUUUAAGGCAGUGGUCAAAGUGGGAACUGCCGUUGAAAGUGGCAGGCUGGAGUUGGUGAGAGGAAAGCGGAAUUCCGGGUGUAGCGGUGAAAUGCGUAGAUAUCAGGAGGAACAUCGGUGGCGAAGGCGGCAUUCUGGCCCAUAACUGACGCUGAGGAGCGAAAGCGUGGGUAGCAAACAGGAUUAGAUACCCUAGUAGUC
rnacentral:rRNA from 1 species